CUACGGGGUGCUCCAGUGAGGAAUAUUGCACAAUGGGGGGAACCCUGAUGCAGCAACGCCGCGUGGAGGAUGACGCAUUUCGGUGUGUAAACUCCUUUUAUAUGUCAAGAAAAUGACGGUAGCAUAUGAAUAAGCACCGGCUAACUCCGUGCCAGCAGCCGCGGUAAUACGGAGGGUGCAAGCGUUACUCGGAAUCACUGGGCGUAAAGGACGCGUAGGCGGGUUGGAAAGUCAGGUGUGAAAUCCUACAGCUUAACUGUAGAACUGUACUUGAAACUUCUAAUCUAGAGUAUGGGAGGGGGAGAUGGAAUUAGCGGUGUAGGGGUAAAAUCCGUAGAUAUCACUAGGAAUACCUAAAGCGAAGGCGAUCUCCUGGAACAUUACUUACGCUAAGGCGUGAAAGCGUGGGGAGCAAACAGGAUUAGAUACCCCGGUAGUC
rnacentral:rRNA from 1 species